CGUAUGCCAGCUGCGCGCGCAUUCAAAAAGCGGCUAGCUCCAAACAAUUCUAUAAAUAUUUUUCAUGCCAAAUAUUUGACAUAUAAACUGCAAUAAAUAAUUUCAGCUAAAAAUAUUUGUUAAUCUCUGGCUGCUACGUUUGUAGAAUGACUAAGAGUUAUUGAUACGACCGCUGAUAAUUUUGCAUAAAUUCGAAUGCUUUUUGAAUGUGUAAACAGUCUUUCAUCACCGCUGAAGCGUACAGACGUCUGAAAUCCGUUCUGAAAAUACUGGUAAGUUUUAUGUUCUGCUAAUUUAAAUCUGAGCGUAUGCUUUGUCAUUUUUUAACUUCCAAUACAAUUUUUGGACCCAGUCCAGAUUUUCGUAAUCAUUCCAGGACUAACAUUUUUAUUUGGUGUUUGCUUUUAGAUUUUUUCCUGGGACCGUUGAGAGAAAAAAAGAGAGAGAAAGAUAAUAAUGGAUUCAUCAAGCAAAACUCCACAGAAUAAGAGUUCAACUUCGUAUGAAAAAUCCUCUCCGAUGUUAUUGAAGUACUUAGUCACCGAACCCAAAAAUUACUGGAAAAUUAACAAUAAUCAAAACCUUGAUCAUGAACCGUCCCCCCCCCACCCCCCCCCCGAAAAGAAGGAAAGAAGCAAAUGGUGGGCCGUCGACUAAGUAAAAUUAUUUAAAAUCGUUAAUAAAUUUCAGUUAUAUUACAGGUAGUAUCAUUUAAAACCUUUUCUAAUCUUUGUUGAAUAAAGCGAAUAAUGUCUUUUACAGACAUUUAAUGUGUGAAUUCAUACAUUGUCCUCAUUUUGUUAAAUCAGGGCAAAAAAACUAGUACAUACACAAAAUAACAGACCUAUCAUAACGGUGCUAAUAAAGUGUGCUACUAACCUGUUUUU